AUCCACGCAGAACUUUGAUACACAAGCGAGGACAGUAAUUAAACAAUGACAACUGACACAAAAGAGAAUUAGAAAAGAACUCUGUUUGCACAUCUAACAGCACUCUGCUUCCUGACUGCAACAGCAGCACAUACGUAACCACAACAUCUUGCUGAAACGUUUUUUGUAUCUGUGUGACCUGUGCUAACGGUUCAGUUCUCGUCUCCGUCACCAGUACUCUCUUUUGUUUUGCUAUUUUUUGUUGUUCUAGUCUCUGUGGACUAGACUCUUUAUAUUUGAUAUUCUUUAUUUUUGACUGACUAUUUUGUUGAGGUAGAGAGGGAAGUUUUUGUUACCAGUUAAUAUAGCAUUUUACAACAGCCUUUUGAGGAUUUUGAUAAUUCAUAUCAGAUUUAUUCAUCUUUAAAUAAAAACAGAUUGUAUACUCUACAAUUGAAAUCCAGUUCCUGUAGGACUCUUCUCUGAACACUGACUGCGACAGCCUCACAUCUGAAAGGCAGCAUAUUGUCUCAGCUUCCUCCCGUCCUCACUCCUCCAUCCUCCAGCUGGUGACCCAGAGAUCCAUCGAGGUCCUCCAUCAACCAGGAUGUUCCCCUCACUUUAUAGGUGGAGGAGAGAGGAGCCACAGCUGGAUCCUAUGAGGACGUUUGUUACCCGGCAGAAACACCCCUUCGGUCACCAUCUGCUUAUUGAUUGGUCAGCUGAUUUGAUGGAUAGUAUAUAGUGUAGUAUAAUAUUAAUAUUCCUACAGAAGUAUAAAAGGGACUAACAGCAGGAAUAGAGGCUCUGAACGUCUUCUUUAUUCAUCAAAUGAAAAUGAUUCAAUUUGUGUGUGGAAUCCAAAUCAUAAAUGAAUCCUAAAAACUCUG